UCAAGCAAUUCUCUCAAAGUUACUUUCUAAACACUUUUAUUAUCAAUCUAUAAUCAGUAUUUCUCUUGAUCAUCACUGUGUUACCAAAUCGAUACUUAAAACGUAUCACACUGAUAUCCCGAGAUAAAGCAAAAUAUUAUCUUCAAGUUUUUUCAUUCGCUUUCACUUUAUAAAUACCAAAACAUCAGAAGCAUAUAUAUUUAGAGUAUUCAUUUCAACCACUAUGUAGGCUAACAUGUAACCAUUCUAUUGCUUAAGAGAGAUUUUUUUUCAUGGUAGAUGACACUGGGAAACAUAAACUUACUAGUCAGAUGACAUUAUAAAGAGUGCGUUCGAUUACUUUACUAAGUAAAUGCAGUUUUUAAACUGUUACGUGACUGACAAGUAAUUGGUAAAGGAUCAAUGAAGUGAUGAUUCUUAUGAUUACUUAAAAAGAACGCAAAAAUGGUUUUAGUCAAAUGGUAGUGCUCAAGACACUGUUCCCAGUUACAAGGAAGAGAUAAGUGAGAACUGAGCUCCGAUUCUAUCUGAGCUCGGAGUAAUAUGUUCGUUGCUGCUCUCUUCUGUCGAUCUUCCCAUUCUUCUUCUCCGAUCAUCCAGAGAAACAUUCUGCGUAGAUUUCUAUAUCGUCUCCAUGUUCGAUGCCUUCAUCUUCUUCACUCCCUUAGUGAGAAAGAAACAAAAAAGGAAAAUUUUGAUGAGUAUAUUUUUGAGUGAUGUCGAAAACAGAGUAAGGGUCACGCGCCAUGAGGGAGAAGCGCGUUGGAGAUUCUUUGAGUAGAAAAAGAAGAGAAUGUGGAACUGUAAAACUGUUAGGACACAGAGGCUCGCACUUUGUCUCAAGUUGUUAGUUACGGUACACACGCGCGGCGCGGGAUAGGUAUGAUGUAUUUGCAUUCUUGUUCUAGUGAUCAAUGAAAUCUGGACGAGAUCUCAGGGAUAUAGGAAACAAACUCCGUUAACAAAUUCAGUGUGUCAUUUACUUUAUGCUCUAUAUCAGUAUAUUGUUCGUUGGUUAUAUCACAAAGAGAAAUGUUAAUUAAAAUUAAAAACAUGUGUAUUUAUGUUACAUGCUUAUCUUGGUUGUGCUCUGUUUUUAAAUC